rnacentral:rRNA from 12 species
CGUCAGCUCGUGUCGUGAGAUGUUCGGUUAAGUCCGGCAACGAGCGCAACCCACAUCUUUAGUUGCCAGCAGUUCGGCUGGGCACUCUAGAGAAACUGCCCGUGAUAAGCGGGAGGAAGGUGUGGAUGACGUCAAGUCCUCAUGGCCCUUACGGGUUGGGCUACACACGUGCUACAAUGGUGGUGACAGUGGGUUAAUCCCAAAAAGCCAUCUCAGUUCGGAUUGUCCUCUGCAACUCGAGGGCAUGAAGUCGGAAUCGCUAGUAAUCGCGUAACAGCAUGACGCGGUGAAUACGUUCCCGGGCCUUGUACACACCG